rnacentral:rRNA from 1 species
GACGGGUGAGUAACACGUGGGUAACCUACCUAUAAGACUGGGAUAACUUCGGGAAACCGGAGCUAAUACCGGAUAAUAUUUCGAACCGCAUGGUUCGAUAGUGAAAGAUGGCUCUGCUAUCACUUAUAGAUGGACCUGCGCCGUAUUAGCUAGUUGGUAAAGUAACGGCUUACCAAGGCAACGAUACGUAGCCGACCUGAGAGGGUGAUCGGCCACACUGGAACUGAGACACGGUCCAGACUCCUACGGGAGGCAGCAGUAGGGAAUCUUCCGCAAUGGGCGAAAGCCUGACGGAGCAACGCCGCGUGAGUGAUGAAGGUCUUCGGAUCGUAAAACUCUGUUAUUAGGGAAGAACAAACGUGUAAGUAACUGUGCACGUCUUGACGGUACCUAAUCAGAAAGCCACGGCUAACUACGUGCCAGCAGCCGCGGUAAUACGUAGGUGGCAAGCGUUAUCCGGAAUUAUUGGGCGUAAAGCGCGCGUAGGCGGUUUUUUAAGUCUGAUGUGAAAGCCCACGGCUCAACCGUGGAGGGUCAUUGGAAACUGGAAAACUUGAGUGCAGAAGAGGAAAGUGGAAUUCCAUGUGUAGCGGUGAAAUGCGCAGAGAUAUGGGGGAAC